GGGGGAUAGAAUGUCAGAAAAUAAAGAUCGUGCAGAAAGUAAUCUCACCCCUAAUGAGUUGCAGCUGGGCCAAUUAGCACAGAUUAGGAACAGGCCUGGCUCUAACAGGCCACAGGUGUGGCCAAUGAGAAGGGUGCUAUAAAAGAGAGGCCUGGUUUGUUGUGGAGGGAUUUGGGUUCUGUUGGCUGCUUUGUGAGGAAGAGAGAGUGAGUCAGUGUGCUGAAGAGCUGCCCGUGAGAAGACAUGAAGAAGUAUAUCCUGGUUUCAAGAAGAAUGGAAGCACCACUCCCCAGACAAACUAAGACACUUUGAUAGGAGUGAAGGUGUCCUCGUGAAAGGACCUAUGUGCAAAUGAAUCACCUCAGGCUGGAGAAGAAGGAGCUCAGCUUUGAGAAUGUACCUUCAUCUUUGGUAUGACCUCAGUGAAAACUCCAGUGGAAGAAAUGAACCUCACCUCUGUUCAGUUGUCCCCCUAAGAACAGCACUCACGGGCAAUGAAAACAAAGUCAUGCUGCAUCAAGUCUGCAGAUACACAUUUUUAUUCAAUUUAUCUCUGUCUAUGUGGACUGUUACCUAUAGCUGUGGACACUAAAGGGAAUUCCAGCUCAGCUCUCAUUUUUGCUCCAGGAGCUAUGUAGCCACUUACCUUCCUAAGAUGACUCCUGGCAGCAUCCAUACAAUCUAUGACUUGGGCUUAUAAAGCUGUCAAUGCCAGGACUUUGGGUAAAUGAAUUAAUCUGCCUUCCCACCACUAUUAUUCUGUUGUUCCAGCACAUUGUAUUCUCCCUUGUCCCUUGAAAAAGCACUAUUUCCUGCUUAAUUUUAAAAACAUUGUCCACCUGACUGUUCCAUCCCACACUUAACCACAUUUAUUCUCUUCAUUUUAUCUGAUGCACAUAUAUCUGUACUCCACAUCCUAAGUAGGAUCUCACUUCCCUGUUCUAUAAUGAUUGUAACAACUCUUAAUAGAUGAUUUAUUUAAGAA